GGACACCAUUGAGUUCCCGGACUCACUCCCUCUCCGGUGUUGCUUAUAUGCCUAACUCGUAUAGAUCAUACAAUAAUUCGCCGCCUAUUAGUAUAAGUAGAGGUUCUUUCAAUCAUAGAAACUUGUCAUCUCACAGGUCUUACCAUUCUCAUAUUGCGUCCCCGCAUUCCAUCGGCAUUCCUCUAUCAUCACCCUUGAGUUCGAGAUACAUGGCCCCUUGUUUUCCUAGUUCGAGUAAUGCAUCUGCGAGCUUUCUUGUUGCCUCAUCCGACCGACAAUCGUACUUGCGACACUGCAAUUCGGGUACAAGUCUGUCA
rnacentral:misc_RNA from 1 species